rnacentral:ncRNA from 1 species
GUAAAAACGAUGACGAAAGCCCAAACAGGCUGACGAGAUAGGGAAUGACGUUCAUACGACUGCAAGACGUCUAUCGCCAAAAUGUUUGUCUUCACUUUCUGAGUUGACUUUUGAAGUGGCAACACUUAGAAAGCUCCGGCCUAGCCGUUACCUUGUUGAGUGCAUGGUUAUUUCGUGACCAUGAACAAGGGUGGUACCGCGAUGCUUCGUCCCUUUU